rnacentral:rRNA from 1 species
UGCCAGCAGCCGCGGUAAUACAGAGGGUGCAAGCGUUGUUCGGAAUUACUGGGCGUAAAGAGCAUGUAGGCGGUUUUUUAAGUCGGUUGUGAAAGCCCAUGGCUCAACCAUGGAAGUGCGACCGAUACUGGAUAACUUGAGUCCCGGAGAGGGUGGCGGAAUUCCCAGUGUAGAGGUGAAAUUCGUAGAUAUUGGGAGGAACACCGGUGGCGAAGGCGGCCACCUGGACGGGUACUGACGCUGAGAUGCGAAAGCGUGGGGAGCAAACAGGAUUAGAUA